rnacentral:rRNA from 1 species
UGGGGAAUAUUGCACAAUGGAGGGAACUCUGAUGCAGCGACGCCGCGUGAACGAAGAAGGCUUUCGAGUCGUAAAGUUCUUUUAUAUGGGAAGAUAAUGACGGUACCAUAAGAAAAAGCCCCGGCUAACUACGUGCCAGCAGCCGCGGUAAUACGUAGGGGGCUAGCGUUUUCCGGAAUCACUGGGCGUAAAGGGUUCGCAGGCGGAAAUGCAAGUCAGGUGUAAAAGGCAGUAGCUUAACUACUGUAAGCAUUUGAAACUGCAUAUCUUGAGAAGAGUAGAGGUAAGUGGAAUUUUUAGUGUAGCGGUGAAAUGCGUAGAUAUUAAAAAGAAUACCGGUGGCGAAGGCGGCUUACUGGGCUCAUUCUGACGCUGAGGAACGAAAGCGUGGGUAGCAAACAGG